rnacentral:misc_RNA from 1 species
GGUGAAGAACGCAGCGAAAUGCGAUACUUGGUGUGAAUUGCAGAAUCCCGUGAACCAUCGAGUCUUUGAACGCAAGUUGCGCCCGAAGCCAUUAGGCCGAGGGCACGCCUGCCUGGGCGUCACACGUCGUUGCCCCCCCAUCUACUCCUUCGGGAUUGCGGGGGGCGGAUGAUGGCCUCUCGUGCGCCUCGUCGCGCGGUUGGCCUAAAUGCCAAGUCCUCGGCGACGCACGCCACGACAAUCGGUGGUUGCGAAACCUCGGUUGCCUGUCGUGUGCGGUCGUCGCGCAUCGAGGGCUCGAAAAAAUUGCCGGGCUUCGGCUCGACUUUCAACGCGACCCCAGGUCAGGCGGGGUUACCCGCUGAAUUUAAGCAUAUCAAUAAGCGGAGGA